rnacentral:rRNA from 1 species
GAGUGCGCGGUAGCAAUACUGGCGCACGGCGCACGGGUGCGUAACACGUGGGUAACCUGCCCUCCAAAGGGGGAUAACCCGCCGAAAGGCGGGCUAAUACCGCAUGACAUUCCGGUGGCUUCGGACGCCGGAAUCAAAGCCCGCAAGGGCGUUGGAGGAGGGGCCCGCGCCCGAUUAGCUAGUUGGUGAGGUAACGGCUCACCAAGGCUAUGAUCGGUAGCCGGUCUGAGAGGAUGGCCGGCCACACUGGAACUGAGACACGGUCCAGACUCCUACGGGAGGCAGCAGUGGGGAAUCUUGCGCAAUGGGCGAAAGCCUGACGCAGCGACGCCGCGUGGGGGAUGAAGCUUCUCGGAGUGUAAACCCCUUUCGACCCGGACGAAACGCCCGCAAGGGCUUGACGGUACGGGUAUAAGAAGCCCCGGCUAACUACGUG